rnacentral:ncRNA from 2 species
AUUUAGAUUUAAAGUUAGGUAAUCAUGGUGUAAAUCCAUGACUGUGCCGCAACUGUUAAAGUCAGAAAACUAACUUUAUU